rnacentral:sRNA from 1 species
GAUGAUGAGGGCAAUCUGGGUGUGACAUCUGUUACUCUGUUGGGCUUCAGGAUUGAUUUGGCUGGCUCUGCAAGUGGCCUGUUCUCAUCACGUCAGGUACAUCUUUCCUGAGGUUUUGCCCUUGGCUAAAGAGGAUGACCUAUUUAGAGAAUGCAGGACCAUUCUUUAUUCCAGGUAUCUGAAUUAUAAUCUUAUCCAUGAAGGUACAUAAUUCUAAGUUUUCUGAGAGGUCUU